AGAGCAAGUGCUGGAUUCUGCACCUAGGAGGGGAUCAACCCAGAUUACAUUAAUCUGUGUGACCUGCCUGCAGUGAGUCCCAGCACGUGACACCGAAAACAGUCACAGCACGGGAGUCACAAGAAGACAUCGUCAUGUUCCUGCAGACUAAUGCUUUCACAGGAGGCAGGGGGAGAAGCACUCAGCACAACUCACCACCUCAUCAGGAGUGGAACUGACAGCACAAAUAAGAUGGAUUUCCAAGCCAAGUACAUCUUACUGACUUUAUAUGUCACUUUGGUAUGUUUGCAUUCAACACAAGCCAACAGCGACUUGCUUUUAUGCCUUUCUGUGUACAACAUUCCGUGGUUCCAAAGAUAAGUUUAGUAACAACCUCUUAAGAAUGCAAAUGUAAAAUACCACUUGUUUUCCAAGGGAACUUUCACCUCCUUCCAGUCCUUCCAAGCCCACUGAAGGACUUCCAUGAAUAAAUCUCAUUGUGGAAGCCCCAAGCCCAUUGCUGAAUGAACAGCAAGCACCUUUCAGAGGUGGCACGUCAGUGAACCCUUCCUUCCCUCCAUGAAAUAAGAACUGCACACAGUCAACAAGCUGCAAGGAAGGGCAGUCACACACACAAAUGUGCUGUUUGAUUUGUAUAAAUAGCUUUCCAUUAAGUGCCAUUAAACAGAGUCAUAAACCCCAGUUUAUAUUCCUGCAACAUGCUUCAAUUUCCAGUUUAGACUUGGUUUGUACAUAAAAGGUAUUUUUGCUCUUAGGCAAACAAAGAUGACUAUUGGUUCCUUCAUGGAACUCCACAUGCCGAACUCUUUAUGACCCAGGGACUUUAUUACACACUUCCCCAUGCCAGAAUGUGAAAUUACGGAUCUGAGCUUUCGUUUUUUCUGCACUCACCAGCCUCCAUCUGAAAUAAAUCCAGCUACACAAUGCUUUUCUAUAUUCAGUUUUCUCUAGGAUCCAAGUUCCUUGGAUCCCAUGUUCCAGCUGGGAUUUAUUUUUAGUCCAGAUGACAUUUGUUCUAAGAGUCACAAUAUGCAAAGAGACCUGGAUCUCAUGUUUACUAUGGUUAGCAUUCAUUUCUCAGUAGAGUUUACAGUUCAGAAAUACAACUUGGUACAGGAGCAUUUCUGUGGACAAUGUAGGAUUGCUUAAGAAACAGAGGCAUGGCAUUUAUCAGCCAACAACAAAUCUGGGCCUCUUCAUUGUAUUCAGCCUUUCCAGUAUUUUCAGGAAACUACAUAUUGAUAAUACAGCAAUUAUAUUAAUUGAUGAGACACAUGAUGAACUACUGGGGCUAAAAGGGCUGGAAUUCAUGCUUAUUCCAUUCAGGUUCGAACCAUCAAUUUCCACAAUUCCCAGCAAAAUAGAAUAGUGCAAUCUUUCCUGCUAGCCUAGUUUCCUGUUAUUAUAUUUUUCAAAACUUAUUCUUUAUCUCUCGCUGCAGAGACAACCAGAAAGGGUUUUUUUUCUGUGAAAGAUGACCAUGAAUUUUCCUCUUCAAAAUAUAAAGGGUCUGUAAAACAGAAGAUGUAAACUGAUAGAACUGCCAACUUCAAAAGACAGAUGAAUCCUAUAUUGCCCCAAGAAAGACUAUUUGGGGCCAAAACUCAGGUGAUUUCCCUUUAAAAUACUCUUAUAUCUGAAAGAGUCUUUGAAAACAUUUUGAUAAGCAGAGCAGGGUGAGAGUACAACAGAUAGAUUUCCUCUCCUGGGUUAUGAGGUGUUGUCUUGCCUGCUGACAUCUCAAAGAAAGAACUUUUCAGACCUAAUUUGAACCAUUACAGAGCAAAGUAGCUCAGGUGAGCCCAGGGCAAGCCUGCCUGACUGCCUCUAAGGCACAAAAAAUUGCACUGAAAAUUGCCAAAACCACCUUUGCCCCGGCGUUGCCACAUAGGCUGUGAGACAUUUGUAAGACAUACCCAUAAUUCAGAGGAAAGCAUCAAGGUCUGGAACACCCCAAGAAUGUAUUCAAUAAACUGGAUUACUUAACAGCUUCUUAUAUCCCUUGUACACUUUCUGAGACAAUGUUUCUCCAAAAGCAUAGUGGGAGACCAGAUCAACUUCCCUCAGUGCUCUCAGAGGCUGGGAUUCCUUGGGAGAAAACCCUUCUCUUGGGAUGGUGUGAGUGCCACACCAGUAUGUGUCUAGAUUCUUAAAGCAGAAUGAUUCCACCUCAUUCUGCAGAACAACACAGAGAGCCUAGUGAGAACCUACUCUGUCUAAGUAAGUAGCAAAUAAUUUACAGUGUAGUAAAAGGUUUUAUAUGUAUUUAUUCAAAAUAAGCUUUAUAACUGGCUUUUCAUAAAUUCACAAAGUGAGUGGCACGCCCAUCAAAAAUACGUACCCAUUCGCAUAUUUUUGAGAAAUAUUUAUCCUGUACACAAAAAUCUACGUGAUAAUAGCAAGAUACACUGGCUUAAAUGAAUUAGACACAAUAUCAGUUGACUAGUUUUCUAUCUUCAUCUGUGCCAGUUAAGGAUUUUUAUAUCAUCCAUUUUACUACAGACAUCUGGAUUUAACAAAGUCAUUGUUAGAAAUACCUUUAACAGAAAUCACACUCGUGGAUAGAAAGAGUACAUGUGGAAUAAAGCCUUUUGCAUCCAUAAAAUUGUCCUGUGGCCAUCUGUUCAGAACACUAGUUUAGAAAAAAAAUAGCCAAUAAACUCAUAUCUUUUUCAA